GCAAGUCGAACGAGACCUUCGGGUCUAGUGGCGCACGGGUGCGUAACGCGUGGGAACCUCCCCUAAGGUGCGGAAUAACUCAGGGAAACUUGAGCUAAUACCGCAUGAUGCCGACAGGCCAAAGAUUUAUCGCCUUUGGAUGGGCCCGCGUCGGAUUAGCUUGUUGGUGGGGUAAUGGCCCACCAAGGCGACGAUCCGUAGCUGGUUUGAGAGGAUGAUC
rnacentral:rRNA from 1 species